GAAGUUACUCGGUACAUCGGUGACAGGUGGUGCAUGGUUGUCGUCAGCUCGUGUCGUGAGAUGUUGGUUAAGUCCCGCAACGAGCGCAACCCCUAUUGUUAGUUGCCAUCAUUCAGUUGGGCACUCUAGCGAGACUGCCGGUAAUAAACCGGAGGAAGGUGGGGAUGACGUCAAAUCAUCAUGCCCCUUAUGACCUGGGCUACACACGUGCUACAAUGGUUGGUACAACGAGUUGCGAGUCGGUGACGGCGAGCUAAUCUCUUAAAGCCAAUCUCAGUUCGGAUUGUAGGCUGCAACUCGCCUACAUGAAGUCGGAAUCGCUAGUAAUCGCGGAUCAGCACGCCGCGGUGAAUACGUUCCCGGGCCUU
rnacentral:rRNA from 1 species